rnacentral:rRNA from 1 species
UGGGGAAUAUUGCACAAUGGGCGAAAGCCUGAUGCAGCGACGCCGCGUGAGGGAUGACGGCCUUCGGGUUGUAAACCUCUUUCAGCAGGGAAGAAGCGAAAGUGACGGUACCUGCAGAAGAAGCGCCGGCUAACUACGUGCCAGCAGCCGCGGUAAUACGUAGGGCGCAAGCGUUGUCCGGAAUUAUUGGGCGUAAAGAGCUCGUAGGCGGCUUGUCACGUCGGAUGUGAAAGCCCGAGGCUUAACCUCGGGUCUGCAUUCGAUACGGGCUAGCUAGAGUGUGGUAGGGGAGAACGGAAUUCCUGGUGUAGCGGUGAAAUGCGCAGAUAUCAGGAGGAACACCGGUGGCGAAGGCGGAUCUCUGGGCCAUUACUGACGCUGAGGAGCGAAAGCGUGGGGAGCGAACAGG